rnacentral:rRNA from 1 species
CCUACGGGUGGCAGCAGUGAGGAAUAUUGGUCAAUGGGCGUAAGCCUGAACCAGCCAAGUAGCGUGAGGGAUGACGGUUCUACGGAUCGUAAACCUCUUUUAUAAGGGAAUAAAGUGUGGGACGUGUCCUAUUUUGUAUGUACCUUAUGAAUAAGGAUCGGCUAACUCCGUGCCAGCAGCCGCGGUAAUACGGAGGAUCCGAGCGUUAUCCGGAUUUAUUGGGUUUAAAGGGAGCGUAGAGGGGCUGUUAAGUCAGUUGUGAAAGUUUGUGGCUCAACCGUAAAAUUGCAGGUGAUACUGGGAGGCUUGAGUAUGUUUGAGGUAGGCGGAAUGCGUGGUGUAGCGGGGAAAUGCUUAGAUAUCACGCAGAACCCCGAUUGCGAAGGCAGCUUGCCAAGCCAUGACUGACGCUGAUGCACGAAAGCGUGGGUAUCAAACAGGAUUAGAUACCCUGGUAGUC